rnacentral:rRNA from 1 species
GAGCGAACAGGAUUAGAUACCCUGGUAGUNCACGCCGUAAACGAUGAGUGCUGGGUGUUAGGCCCUUUCCGGGGCUUAGUGCCGCAGCUAACGCAUUAAGCACUCCGCCUGGGGAGUACGACCGCAAGGUUGAAACUCAAAGGAAUUGACGGGGGCCCGCACAAGCGGUGGAGCAUGUGGUUUAAUUCGAAGCAACGCGAAGAACCUUACCAGGUCUUGACAUCCCGAUGCCCGCUCUAGAGAUAGAGUUUUACUUCGGUACAUCGGUGACAGGCGGUGCAUGGUUGUCGUCAGCUCGUGUCGUGAGAUGUUGGGUUAAGUCCCGCAACGAGCGCAACCCUUAUUGUUAGUUGCCAUCAUUCAGUUGGGCACUCUAGCGAGACUGCCGGUAAUAAACCGGAGGAAGGUGGGGAUGACGUCAAAUCAUCAUGCCCCUUAUGACCUGGGCUACACACGUGCUACAAUGGCUGGUACAACGAGUCGCAAGUCGGUGACGGCAAGCUAAUCUCUUAAAGCCAGUCUCAGUUCGGAUUGUAGGCUGCAACUCGCCUACAUAAAGUCGGAAUCGCUAGUAAUCGCGGAUCAGCACGCCGCGGUGAAUACGUUCCCGGGCCUUGUACACACCGCCCGUCACACCACGAGAGUUUGUAACACCCGAAGUCGGUGAGGUAACCUUUUAG